UACGGAGGGGGCUAGCGUUGUUCGGAAUUACUGGGCGUAAAGCGUACGUAGGCGGUGACUCAAGUCAGAGGUGAAAGCCCGGAGCUCAACUCCGGAAUAGCCUUUGAAACUAGGUCGCUUGAACGUCGGAGAGGUGAGUGGAAUUCCGAGUGUAGAGGUGAAAUUCGUAGAUAUUCGGAAGAACACCAGUGGCGAAGGCGGCUCACUGGACGACUGUUGACUCUGAGGUACGAAAGCGUGGGUAGCAAACAGGAUUAGAUACCCUGGUAGUCCACGCCGUAAACGAUGAUAACUAGCUGUCCGGGCACUUGGUGUUUGGGUGGCGCAGCUAACGCAUUAAGUUAUCCGCCUGGGGAGUACGGUCGCAAGAUUAAA
rnacentral:rRNA from 1 species